UAAGAAGGCGAGAUGAACUCUUACCUAGAUU
rnacentral:piRNA from 1 species